AUGACGAGAUUGCCAGACAUUGUGAUCGUCCUUGAUCAGCAAAAAGAGUAUAUAGCUCUUCGCGAAUGUGCCAUUUUGGGGAUUCCUACUAUUUCUUUAGUCGAUACAAUUUGUGACCCGGAUCUCGCGAAUAUAUCGAUUCCAGCCAACGAUGACACUAUGACUUCAAUUCGAUUGAUUCUUAACAAAUUAGUAUUUGCAAUUUGUGAGGGCCGUUCUCUCUAUAUAAGAAAUCUUCAGAAAACAGACAGAAAAUACUAA
rnacentral:rRNA from 1 species